rnacentral:rRNA from 1 species
GACGAACGCUGGCGGCGUGCUUAACACAUGCAAGUCGAACGGAAAGGCCUGCUUUCCCUUGUGGAUUGCGGGUACUCGAGUGGCGAACGGGUGAGUAACACGUGAGUGAUCUGCCCCCAACUUGGGUAUAAGCCUGGGAAACUGGGUCUAAUUCCCGAUAGGACUGCAGGGUGGUGGCUGUGGUGGAAAACGGUUUUCUAGUGGUUGGGGAUGAGCUCGCGGCCUAGCAGCUUGUUGGUGGGGUAAUGGCCUACCAAGGCGGCGACGGGUAGCCGGCCUGAGAGGGUCGACGGCCGAAGUGGGACUGGGAUACGGCCCAGACUCCUACGGGAGGCAGCAGUGGGGAAUAUUGCACCAUGGGCGGAAGCCUGAUGCAGCGACGCCGCGUGGGGGAUGUCGGCCUUCGGGUUGUAAACUCCUUUCGACCGCGAGGAAGCCACCUGGUUGGAAGGGUGGUGACGGUAGUGGUAGAAGAAGCACCGGCUAACUACGUG